rnacentral:rRNA from 1 species
CCCUUAGAUGUUCUGGGCCGCACGCGCGCUACACUGAUGCAUUCAACGAGCCUAUCCUUGACCGACAGGUCCGGGUAAUCUUUGAAUCUGCAUCGUGACGGGGAUAGAUUAUUGCAAUUAUUAAUCUUCAACGAGGAAUGCCUAGUAGGCGCAAGUCAUCAGCUUGCGUCGAUUACGUCCCUGCCCUUUGUACACACCGCCCGUCGCUCCUACCGAUUGGGUGUUCAAGUGAGAUGCUUAGACCCUUGUUGCAUGGUUCAUUAUUGUGCUCCGAAAGGAAAAAGUUUCAAGCUUGAGUGUCUAGAGGAAGUAAAAGUCGUAACA